rnacentral:rRNA from 1 species
UACGUAGGGUGCAAGCGUUGUCCGGAAUUAUUGGGCGUAAAGAGCUCGUAGGUGGCCUGUCGCGUCGGCUGUGAAAACUCGGGGCUCAACUCCGAGCUUGCAGUCGAUACGGGCAGGCUAGAGUUCGGCAGGGGAGACUGGAAUUCCUGGUGUAGCGGUGAAAUGCGCAGAUAUCAGGAGGAACACCGAUGGCGAAGGCAGAUCUCUGGGCCGUAACUGACGCUGAGGAGCGAAAGCGUGGGGAGCGAACAGG